rnacentral:rRNA from 1 species
UAGGGAAGUCUUCGGCAAUGGACGAAAGUCUGACCGAGCAACGCCGCGUGAGUGAAGAAGGUUUUCGGAUCGUAAAACUCUGUUGUUAGAGAAGAACAAGGGUGAGAGUAACUGUUCACCCCUUGACGGUAUCUAACCAGAAAGCCACGGCUAACUACGUGCCAG